AAAUCCACCAUAAUUUCUGGGCAUCAACCAGUUCUAGAAAGAAAGUAUUUGCAUCCACAGAUGCAAUACGAUGCUUAGGAAACAAUAGAAUGCCCCAUGGCAGGGGCCAUUAUAUAAACAGAAAAUACGUACAUUCUACCUUCAAUACCUCUUGUAAAACUAUACGUAUAGUAUAGCAGAAUCCACUCUGCCGGGCCACUGAAAAAACAACACGAGAAGAAGACGAGGAGACGAGCAGGAGAAGGAAAGUAAGCCGAGCCUCAGAAGAUUGCUGUGACAACUUUAGACCAAAAGCACUGUACAAAUGCUAUAAGCUUGGCUAGCAUCUCAUGGAUUUUUGUUGAUGAAGCUCAUUAAGGAAGCUUACACAUUGAUCUCCAAUUGGCAAAUUGUUAAGAAGAAAUUGCCAUAGACGACAGAUUUCAAGACAUUAGAAUUUCUGCCUUAGAUGUCUGCACCAAGCUUCCAGAUUUCUUCUAGGGCUGCUGCACCUUCUUUGGGAUGUGGAGAACCUUCCCUGAUGGCAUCAAACUGAUAUAUUUUCCAACUUCUUGGGCACAGCCACCCUGAAGCAGAGCAUCUCAUUGUUAAGAUGGCAAGCAUGAUUCAGAUGACAGAGGAAGAGGUUGCUAUACUUGCAAUUCUAGCUUUGAAGAUGGAAGUAGAAUGGGUUUCGGAAACUAUCUUUUUAAUCUAUUGCCGUGAUUUGCAUGAUAUCUAAAGCCAAAAUGGCCUUUUCUUCGCAACAAUGGAACCUCAGGAUGGAGGGUGUUCAACUGUUUCUUUCCACCUAUUUUAUAACUGUUUACUGUGUAAUAUUACAUUCUGUAAGAAAACCAUUAAACUCUAUGCGUCUAUCUUUUCCAUCUUAGAUAAAUAUUCACAUGCUUCGAUCUUCCUA